rnacentral:tRNA from 1 species
GCCUCGAUGGUGGAAUAGGUAGACACAGCGGACUUAAAAUCCGCCGCAUCCUUAAUCGGAGCGUACCGGUUCGAUUCCGGUUCGAGGCACCA